rnacentral:lncRNA from 1 species
CCACCCGUCAACUAUGAAAACAAACAAAUUCUCUGGUUUUGUUUUUUUUUUGUUUUUUUGUUUUUUUGUUUUUUGUUUUUUGUUUUUCCAGAUCUUCUUGCCUUUGGCGAUCUCAGAAUGCGAGGAGUGGGCCAGCAUGGGGAGACAGAUGUCUGCUAAGAUUUCUCUCUGUUCUCAGUUCCUUUUGUAAAGUGAUAGAUGCGAGCAAGCUUCUCCCUGACCUAGUUCAGUUCACUUCGGAAGUGCUAGUGCUGCCUCGGGACUGAACCAGGCUCUCUCUUUCCCCACAGCAGGAAAAAGAAAAAAAAAUGGCUGUUCCCAACUACGCUUCUAUCCACACACCCUGCAUGGACAUCUCACUCCAAAGAAAGGCACCAGAGUUUCAGGAGUUUCAAGCACUCUGAUAAAGUAGCCUUCUUUGCUGACUAGGGUUAGGCUCUCUUUGCAGCUAUGGGAAGGCACUGCUAUAGGAAACCACCCAAAAGGGCCUCUCCGACCUGGGUAGAAAACUCUGGCCCAAAUCUCUGGUGAAAACUCAGAAGAUGGCGCACAGAACCUGUUGGCCUUGACUGCAAGUUUUGAGUCAAAGAACCUUGGGACUCAAAGUUUGGAUGGGUGGGGGUGGGGGAAUGGGUCUGAAUGGAAAUCCAGAAUGAUGAGGCCUCUGACCCCAGGGAGACCUCCUGGGCCUCAUUUUGGGUAUGAAUGUCAUAUGUUUUGUGCUGAUGGAAUAUGACUCCUGCCAUAUAUACCCCCAUAAGUCUGCCAUGGAAAUGAAAGUACAUUCUCAAAGCACUGAGCUCAGAGAAGCACUGCCCUUGACUCAGAGAAGGAAGACACACGGAAGUGUGACUGUCAGUUACCAGAGAAAACUUUUUAACGUAGGCCUUGCCAAAAGAUGAAGGCCUUAGGUGGCUGUUUCACCCUUUAGUCUUUGGGGUUUUCUACAUAAAUUGAUUAGAAACACAGCUUCCAGACAAGACAUAUGCGUGUAAUCCCAGCAUGACACACGCUUGUAAUCCCAGAACUAGGGAGUUGUAAGCAAGAGGAUCAGGGCUUGGAGGCCAGCCUAGGCUAAAUGAGACACUAUCUGAAAUAAGAAUAAUAAAAUACUACUUCCUCCUGGAAAAAAAAAAAAGCCAGACAGCCACCAACUGGAGUAUAUACAAGCCUGGCGAUGGGUUUCAUCAACAGAAGUGCAGAGAAUAGCCAGCUUGCUUUGCCAGGCACAGGCUAAAGCUCACUGCCCAGAGGCACCAGGGACAGGUUCCACAUGCUUGACACAGAGCCAGGAGUUCUGGAGCCAACUCAAAGUCUCUGUCCUCAGAAGAGCUCAGAAGAAAAAAAAAAAUGCACUGGAAUAAAGUAGUCAAUGCCCACCCAAUACCCAAAGUACAAAAACUCCAUGCCUUGGACUCGCUGAGUCCAGAGUUCAGGCUGAGUCUUAAUGAUGUGGGAAGCAUUACAGACUGUGGACAGACAGCCACCUCCCUGCCAUCGGCAGAACAAUCGGAAGACAGAGACGAUGCAUAGGGGCCCAGAGGAUCCUGCUGGGCUCUAGGCUCAAUCAUUGCUCUGUGGAUUUGCAAUAUGGGAGUACAUUGUGCACAAACAAGCUUUGUAUUCUGCACAGCUUCAACCUUGCUUCUUGUGUGUCUCUUUGCAAUAUAAACUUAAAUAUAUACUUUAAUGUGCUCAGCCUACCGAGGACUGAUGGAGGAAUGGCUGAAGACAGCCGGAACACUUGAUGUGAAAAAAAUUCUAUAGCUUGAAAGGAUGCCCAGAAAGGCUUCAGGGUGACCCAAAUAAGGACACAGGGCAAUACAUCUUGAAUCUUCUUUCCUCUGAUUCAGGAACAGAAUAUGGACCACCACUGCCAGCCAGCCAGCCAGCAGGAUCUUCAGCGCAGUACAUUCCCAAAAGUUUCUCCAGAGGGAAUAUCUGUGUGGUUCAGGGAUGUUUCAGAGCUGGCUAAGCCUUCCCUGUGUGUGCCAACCAAUAUAAUUAAAAAUGCAUCCCAAGUAAACCUCAGACAACUGAGCCCUCCGCUGCAACGUGGGGGGGCGCGCUCACUGUCGGAGGGUGGUCACCCCGGUGGGCGCAAACAUUGCCCCAGGUGCUCUGCAGCUGGCUGCAAAGGCUCGUGAAAUUCUAUCCUUUCAAGUUCCCAGUGUGCUGGAGAGCAACCCUGAGAGGCCGGCUGGCAGCCCUGCCCCACCUGUGGAAACUAAUGAUACCAGCUCAGCAUAUUGGCAGAGGAAGGAAACUUGCACUGCAAACAGACCUACCGAAACACUGGAAGUAUGUCUGAACAGAAGCACAUUGAUUCAAGUCGCUCAAAGAUCAAAUUACUCUCCCAGCCCAGGUGAUUUUGUCCUAGAAGCCAGGAUACUUGUAUCGACAAGAAUAUUGAUGAAAAACCACUCGCUGCAUCUCGGCGGACCAUAUUAAGGCUGUUAAUCUCGGAAGUGUCCCAUAAUUUUUAUCCGACAUGCAGACUCUUCAUUGGAAAGAGUUUUAACUCCAAUGCAAACAGUAAUAAGGAAAUAAAAUCACUGGUGUAUGUCUUUUCCAAUAUCGGACUUGGCCACAGCAAUUUCAAAAAAGAAAAUAAAAGAUGAGGCCAAAGCUAUUCUUGAACCACGCAGGCAAGCAAACCGCCAGACAAAUGGGAUUCCCGG